rnacentral:misc_RNA from 1 species
AGCAGCCGCGGUAAUUCCAGCUCCAAUAGCGUAUAUUAAAGUUGUUGCAGUUAAAAAGCUCGUAGUUGAAUUUCGGGGUUAGUAGGUUGGUCAUGCCUCUGGUAUGUACUGGUCUCACUGAUUCCUCCUUCCUGAUGAGCCGUAAUGCCAUUAAUUUGGUGUUGCGGGGAAUCUGGACUGUUACUUUGAAAAAAUUAGAGUGUUUAAAGCAAGCUAACGCUUGAAUACAUUAGCAUGGAAUAAUGAAAUAGGACGUUCGAUCCUAUUUUGUUGGUUUCUAGGAUUGACGUAAUGAUUAAUAGGGAUAGUUGGGGGCAUUAGUAUUCAAUUGUCAGAGGUGAAAUUCUUGGAUUUAUUGAAGACUAACUACUGCGAAAGCAUUUGCCAAGGAUGUUUUCAUUAAUCAAGAACGAAAGUUAGGGGAUCGAAGACGAUCAGAUACCGUCGUAGUCUUAACCAUAAACUAUGCCGACCAGGGAUCGGAUGAUGUUAAUUUUUUCAAUGACUCAUUCGGCGCCUU